rnacentral:rRNA from 1 species
CCUACUGGAGGCAGCAGUGGGGAAUAUUGGACAAUGGGCGAAAGCCUGAUCCAGCAAUGCCGCGUGAGUGAUGAAGGCCUUCGGGUCGUAAAGCUCUUUUACCAGGGAUGAUAAUGACAGUACCUGGAGAAUAAGCUCCGGCUAACUCCGUGCCAGCAGCCGCGGUAAUACGGAGGGAGCUAGCGUUGUUCGGAAUUACUGGGCGUAAAGAGUACGUAGGCGGUUAUUCAAGUCAGAGGUGAAAGCCCGGGGCUCAACCCCGGAACUGCCUUUGAAACUAGAUAACUAGAGUCUUGGAGAGGUUAGUGGAAUUCCGAGUGUAGAGGUGAAAUUCGUAGAUAUUCGGAAGAACACCAGUGGCGAAGGCGACUAACUGGACAAGUACUGACGCUGAGGUACGAAAGCGUGGGGAGCAAACAGGAUUAGAUACCCUGGUAGUCCACGCCGUAAACGAUGAUAACUAGUUGUUCGGUCACUUGGUGACUGAGUGACGCAGCUAACGCAUUAAGUUAUCCGCCUGGGGAGUCGGUCGCAAGAUUAAAACUUAAGGAAUUGACGGCUGNGAGNGCGAGCGACGACGAGGAGAG